rnacentral:lncRNA from 1 species
CGAAGAUAGUCAAUAGUAAUUUCACAUUUCAUUUAAAAUCUUAUUCAUAUUCAAGUUUCUCCAACUGUUAGGAUAUACUACUGAAUUGUUUAAAUCAUUUUUACUUAAAAUAUACCACUGAAAUGUUUGAACUCUUUAGUUUUGGUCAUGACUUUAGAAUUAAAAAUAUAUCCAAGUCUUCAUUGCUUUGUCAAAAAUUAAUUACUUGUCCCCUUUAUUUUAACGUGCCUUCUAAAUUUACUUUUUCCUUCAGGGAAAACGUUGGCUAAAAUUGGGAUAAAUGAAAGGGAUUUACAUAAUUUGAGGAGAACAAGUGAGUUACUGAAAUCUC